GAUGAACGCUGGCGGCGUGCCUAACACAUGCAAGUCGAGCGAACAGACGAGGAUCUUGCUCCUUUGACGUGAGCGGCGGACGGGUGAGUAACACGUAUGUAACCUACCUAUAAGACUGGGAUCACCUCGGGACACCGGAUCUAAUACCGGAUAAUAUUUCGAAACGCAUGGUUCGUUAGUGAAAGUUGGCUUUUCUGUCACUAAUAGAUGGACCUACGCCUUAUUGGCUAGUUGGGAAGGUAAAGGCUUACCAGGGGAACGAUACGUAGCCGGCCUGAGAGAAUGAUCGCCCGCACUGGAACGUGGACACGGUCAAUGAUCCUGCGAUAAGGCGCAGUCGGGUAUCUUCCGCAAUGGGCGAAAGCCUGACGGAGCAGCGCCACGCGAGUGAUGGAAAUCCUGCGUUCGUGAAGCUCUGUUACUAGGGAAGAACAAACGUGUAAGUAACUGUACACGUCUUGACGGUACCUGGUCAAAAAGCCACGGCUAACUACGUG
rnacentral:rRNA from 1 species